rnacentral:rRNA from 1 species
AUUGAACGCUGGCGGCAGGCCUAACACAUGCAAGUCGAACGGUAACAGGAAGCAGCUUGCUUCUUUGCUGACGAGUGGCGGACGGGUGAGUAAUGUCUGGGAAACUGCCUGAUGGAGGGGGAUAACUACUGGAAACGGUAGCUAAUACCGCAUAACGUCGCAAGACCAAAGAGGGGGACCUUCGGGCCUCUUGCCAUCGGAUGUGCCCAGAUGGGAUUAGCUAGUAGGUGGGGUAACGGCUCACCUAGGCGACGAUCCCUAGCUGGUCUGAGAGGAUGACCAGCCACACUGGAACUGAGACACGGUCCAGACUCCUACGGGAGGCAGCAGUGGGGAAUAUUGCACAAUGGGCGCAAGCCUGAUGCAGCCAUGCCGCGUGUAUGAAGAAGGCCUUCGGGUUGUAAAGUACUUUCAGCGGGGAGGAAGGGAGUAAAGUUAAUACCUUUGCUCAUUGACGUUACCCGCAGAAGAAGCACCGGCUAACUCCGUGCCAGCAGCCGCGGUAAUACGGAGGGUGCAAGCGUUAAUCGGAAUUACUGGGCGUAAAGCGCACGCAGGCGGUUUGUUAAGUCAGAUGUGAAAUCCCCGGGCUCAACCUGGGAACUGCAUCUGAUACUGGCAAGCUUGAGUCUCGUAGAGGGGGGUAGAAUUCCAGGUGUAGCGGUGAAAUGCGUAGAGAUCUGGAGGAAUACCGGUGGCGAAGGCGGCCCCCU